CCAAUAGCGUAUAUUAAAGUUGUUGCAGUUAAAAAGCUCGUAGUUGAAUUUCGGGAUCAAUUUGUCGGUCGUGCCUCGGUACGUACUGGUAUUAUUGGUUUCUACCUUCUGAAGAACCUUGAUGUCAUUAAUUUGGUGUCUUGGGGAAUCAGGACUGUUACUUUGAAAAAAUUAGAGUGUUUAAAGCAAGCAUACGCUUG
rnacentral:rRNA from 1 species